ACUGAUUUGAAGAGCUUGCUCAGAUAUGACGAUGAACAUUGCAAAGAGUGGCGAACGGGUGAGUGACACGUGGGAAACCUACCUCUUAGCAGGGGAUAACAUUUGGAAACAGAUGCUAAUACCGUAUAACAAUAGCAACCGCAUGGUUGCUACUUAAAAGAUGGUUCUGCUAUCACUAAGAGAUGGUCCCGCGGUGCAUUAGUUAGUUGGUGAGGUAAUGGCUCACCAAGACGAUGAUGCAUAGCCGAGUUGAGAGACUGAUCGGCCACAAUGGGACUGAGACACGGCCCAUACUCCUACGGGAGGCAGCAGUAGGGAAUCUUCCACAAUGGGCGAAAGCCUGAUGGAGCAACGCCGCGUGUGUGAUGAAGGGUUUCGGCUCGUAAAACACUGUUGUAAGAGAAGAAUGACAUUGAGAGUAACUGUUCAAUGUGUGACGGUAUCUUACCAGAAAGGAACGGCUAAAUACGUGCCAGCAGCCGCGGUAAUACGUAUGUUCCAAGCGUUAUCCGGAUUUAUUGGGCGUAAAGCGAGCGCAGACGGUUAUUUAAGUCUGAAGUGAAAGUCCUCAGCUCAACUGAGGAAUUGCUUUGGAAACUGGAUGACUUGAGUGCAGUAGAGGAAAGUGGAACUCCAUGUGUAGCGGUGAAAUGCGUAGAUAUAUGGAAGAACACCAGUGGCGAAAGCGGCUUUCUGGACUGUAACUGACGUUGAGGCUCGAAAGUGUGGGUAGCAAACAGGAUUAGAUACCCUGGUAGUCCACACCGUAAACGAUGAGUGCUAGGUGUUUGAGGGUUUCCGCCCUUAAGUGCCGCAG
rnacentral:rRNA from 1 species